rnacentral:rRNA from 1 species
UGCGCAGGCGGCUAUGCAAGACAGAUGUGAAAUCCCCGGGCUCAACCUGGGAACUGCAUUUGUGACUGCAUGGCUAGAGUACGGCAGAGGGGGAUGGAAUUCCGCGUGUAGCAGUGAAAUGCGUAGAUAUGCGGAGGAACACCGAUGGCGAAGGCAAUCCCCUGGGCCUGUACUGACGCUCAUGCACGAAAGCGUGGGGAGCAAACAGGAUUAGAUACCCUGGUAGUCCACGCCCUAAACGAUGUCAACUGGUUGUUGGACGGCUUGCUGUUCAGUAACGAAGCUAACGCGUGAAGUUGACCGCCUGGGGAGUACGGCCGCAAGGUUGAA